rnacentral:lncRNA from 1 species
UGUUUAGAAGAAAGACUACUCUAAUAGAUUUAAGAUGCCUUACUUCUAAAACAUUAUUUUUGUCUUGAGUUAAUUGCAACCUUAGAGGUAAUAAUAACUCAAGUGAUUUGCCACAUGUUGAAGGUUGUAACAUGUUAAAAGAUAAAGUGGNAAAUUCUUGGGAAGAAAAGUUAGAUUUUGGGCUUUCAAAAAUAGAUGGAGAAAAGUGUAAGGAUAGAAAAUCUCCCCUUAAGAGUCUUGAUUCCAUUGUGGUUGGGGAAGAUAUUUUUCCUAGUUUCUCUUGCUCACUUUCUUCAACUUCUUUUCUUUCAAUUUCUUUCAAUUGUCUUGAUAGAGUAGCUCAAACCAUGGACGUGGUUUGAAUUGCAGCGGAAGAUGUUAACACUCGAACAGAGGCAGCGGAGGAAUUUGCUUGGGGUUUGGCAGCCAUAUGCAAAGAUGAAACAGUGGUUUAGAUGGUGGAUGAAGAGCUGUUUGGAGGAUGAGGUCUCUAGCUCAAACGACCUUCACUGGAAGGAAGCUAGGUGGAGAGGGAAAGCUCAAUUUAGGAUGACUUUUGGACAGAGUUUUGGGCUGGAAAUGCUUCAGCAGAGCAAAACUCAUAUAUAUCAUCAAAAAGUGUUUACAUAAGCUGAUACAAACAAAUUUAUAAUGAAAGACCCAAGCUAUGGACGGUGCAGAUGGUUGUGGAAGAAGCUCAGAUCUCCACACGUGGCAGCGGUGAGGGAUGUGUGUUCUUCUUCUGGAAGAUGCAAGGCAAUGUGCGUGGGCAACCAACGUUCCAGCCAAAUCACGUACCAGAUGUGGUAUGGUGUGAUACAUGUGUAUUCUUCUUGAGGCAGCUCCAUGCUUGCUAUUCUCACCCCCCUUCCCUUUGUGUAAAUGACUUCUUUGUCCUUCUUCUUGGGUUGGAUAGUCCAUGGUGUCCUAGCCUUAUUGGACCCUACAAAACAACCAUAUAAGUAUUAAAAAGAAAUCAUUNUAAGACUUAGAAAAAGAAAAUCAAGAAAAAGUCUUUCUUCACUCCCCUUUCUUAGCCUUAGCUUUAGUUAGUAUUCCUUUGAAUGGAAUGCCCUAAAUGGGUUUCCAUCAUACCCUCCCUCUUGAAAAACGAUUUGUCCUCAAAUCGGGAAGAUAUAAAGAAGCACAACUUUGGUUUGUCACUUUCCUCCUAGAUCAAAAACAUAUCUACAAUAAGCAUCAAACAUAUCUCCAAUUAGUAUUAAUCCAAGAAAGAAUUUUUUUGUGGAAGUAACUUUAGAAUAAGGACUUUGUUUUAUAAUUUUAAGAAAAUUUGAAAGUCCUAAUUCACAAGUCACUUUUCUUUGAGUUUCUUGUAUCCCUAAGGGUGACAAUAACUCAAGAUUUAAAUUGCCAUAUUUUGAAGAAGUUUGCAUUGAAUAUGGAAUGGCAAUUGGUUUGAAAGAGAAAUUAAGAUUUGAAGACUCAACAAUGAUUGAAAAAGAAAUAAAGAAUUGAAAACCUUCCCUUUUAGGUUCCAUGGUUUUUGAAAGAAAGGAAGAUUUCUCCUUUUCUUUCUUCUCUUUUUCUUGCCUUUCUCUAUUCUUUUCUUCUUCUCUUCUCUCUCUUUCUCUUCUCUCUUCUUCUUUUCUUUGCUCUUCUCUCCUCUCUUCUUCUCUUCUUCUCUUCUCUCUAUCUCUCUUUCUCUUUUCUUUUCCUUGAUCUCUUUAANUUUGGCUCCAAAUUCUAGUUCUCUCCUAAGAAACCCAUGAUCAUUUAAACUCUCAAGAAAUAUUUUUCCAUCUUCAAUGUAAUCUCUAAUUAAUUCUAGGUUUCUUUUAAUUCUUGAAGGCACAAACUUUCUCCUCAUGCAAGCUUUUAAAUCAUACCAAUCAUGAAUGGGAGACUUUCUACCUUUCCUAACAUAAUAUUGUCUUUCAUCCCACCAUUCACUUGCAUGUUCUUCUAACUUAGAGAGAUAAAUGCUAAGCACAUAAGACUCACUCUCUCUAUGAAACCAAGGAUUUAUUUUAUCUAUCUCUUGCUCCCAAGCUAGGUAUGUUAAUGCACCUAUGUCUUUGCAAAAGAAUGGAAGAUUCCUAGCUUGAUUAAACUUUUCAUCAACUUUAUCUAACCUAGAAGACCUAUAUGAACUAUAACAAGACAUCUUUGUUCUUAAAAGUUUUCUUAUUCUAAAGGACUAAAAGCUUCCACUUUAAACAAAUCCCAGGUAAGAGAGGUGAACCACUAGAGUUGCUUAAAUACCAAGUCUUUGCAUUAGCCAGAUUUGCCUUAAGCUACUUACUAAUUAUCCUUUAAAAUAAAAUUACUUUUAAAAUCAUAGGACACAAACUCACAAAUAAUCAAACUAGACUCCUAAUAUUCGAACUUCUAAUGUGAUCCCUAAACGUGAAACACAAAUUUAAACACAUAAGAAAAGUUUUGCCAAGAGUUGAAAGAGCACCAAGGACUCUUACAAAACACUUGGACUUUGAAUGGCCUUUUACAAUUUGAAGAAAUCUAACACAAAAAACCUAUUACAAGUCAAAAGUGAACACUACAAUUACAAAAGAAACAAAGAACAGCUGCUGCCAAAGUCUGGCUCUUGUGCAAAAUCCAAGUACUGGACUACUUUUGUAGUCUCCUAGCUUGUGGUUUCAACUCUCCUUUUUCAGUUUUCAACUCUCCUUUUUCAGUUUUCUGCUGCAGCUGAACAUAUUCUCCUUUACUGGUCAAAUCUGCAUAGAGAGUGUAUUUCAAAUUCAGUAGACAACUAACAAUACCAUUAGAAAUCCAUAUCACAAAUUAAGAAUUUUCCCUUUUCGGUUUUCUUGUUGCAGCCUAGAAGAUUCUCCUUUGCCUUUCAAAAUUUGCUCUCGGUUUGGUGCAAUCAUAGGGCUGUUUCCCAGCAAAAUAUGCAGUCUGUAUUUGUUUUGCUAUGACAACACUUGUACCAAGAGAUAAACACAAAAUCCAAAAAGAAAGGUGUUGUUGCUUUCAGAUUUUCCAGAGAAAAACUGCACACAAAGAUCAUGCCAAAAUUCAACAAGAAAUCCAAAAUUAUCACUUAACCAGCAGAAUAGUAAGUGAAUUCAAGUGUAUUAAACUCCCUGCAAAGAUGGAUGCAAUUGCCACUUAUGGUUUAAAUCACAUUGAUCAAACAGUUGGUGAUUCUUGUACAGUGUUGAUAGACACAGUUCUUGUUCAUCCAGGUCUUAAUUCAUGACAAAUCAAUUUCCCACUGUUCAGGCUGUUGCAACUAUUUAUAGGACAUCAUCAAGGAUCAAAUCUGCACAAAAAGAGUUACAUACCCAAAACCAGAAUUGAAAAUCAGUGAACAGAACUGAAACUCCCUAUUUUACUGCCCAAGUUUAUAUGGUAAAUCACUUUUCUCGCAAAAUGGGUGUUUGCAACUAAUCAGCAAAUUUCUCUUGGGUUAUAAACACUUAAACUCAUAACCACUCAACUGUUUGGCUUUUCACUCAGAAUUUAGUGACUCUAGUUCUGAUUUCUCAAUUGUUUUACUCUUAAAAUAUGGUAGAAUUGAUGGUAAGACAGCCUAGACAGACUUUGGUUGGCAAAGUUCAGAAGUAAAACAGUAAAAGAAUUGGGUAGACAGCUUUGGUCGCUCUCAAAAGAAAGUGAAUUAGUUGUGAUUCACGCAAGUCUCCCAACUGCAGGUGUGAGAUCUGCUGCUGCACAGUCAACAAAAGUUGCAGCCCGAGAAAUGGUCACUGCUGCACAAAAAUUCACUCCAAUGUUGAUCUUUCCUUGCUCCAAUCCACUCCCUAAGAUGCUACNAAUGUUGUAGGACGGUCUGAACUAAUUCUGCACCCAAAAUAGAGCUCAAACAAACCACCAUCAAUCAAUUUCGAAUGUAGAAAAACCACUCUGUUGCUGCCAGAAAUUUCGUAGACCAGAAUGCACAACUGGAUUUUUAUCAAACAACUUAUGUGCAGAAUUUUCAAACAAUUGAAAUCAAGAAAUUAAAUGGCUUGCAACGAAGGAUGGCACUCAAAAUGAUCUUAGGAAAGGCUCUAGAGUAGAUUUGCAAAGCAAGAAACAAUUAUAAGUUGCAGAUAUGACCAAUUCAACUCAAACUAAAAAUUAGGAAAAAGUGUUUGAUGAAAUGCCUAAAAGAGCUGCUGGAAAAUAUGCAUCAGAUUUUAAAAGUUGCUUGGCACUGGUUCAUACAGCUUUUUACAAUGCAGUUUAUGGCAAAUUUUGAAUUGUUCGCUUCUUUUUAAUCAAUUGAACCAAGCUUUUGCUACCAAUUUGAGAUGGAAUUUGAUGCAAUAAUCACAGCAACAAAGAUUCACAAAAUUCUGCAACUUAAACCAAAAAAAAGUGUUGAAAAAUUGGUGGUUUGGAUAGCAAUCUUGCACAAACAAGCUUGAACACUUAAUUGUAUGACUUGAGCAACUUUGUUUUAUCAAAUGGAACUUGUUUCAGCUGCCANCCGAGGCUAAACACUUGUAACUCAAAAUUUCACUGUNUGAGUUGCUCUUUAACACCAAAAUUGGUGGUUUGGAUAACAAUUUUGCACAAACGUGUUUAGACUGCCAAUUUAAUGAUUCAAGCAACUUUAGUUUACCAAAAUGGACUUGUGUAAGNUNCCAGCAGAGNNUGGAUGNUAUCAAAUCAAAAUUUNACUCAUUCAGUUGCUCUUUUCACCACAUUUAAGAUAACUAACCAACCAAUUUUCAGCAGAAGAAUCAAUAUGAACAAGUUUUAUGACCAUAGGACAACAAGUCAAAUGUGAACAAGACUCUAGGAAUUACUGAAAAGAGGUCCAGAGGUGAUUUCUAUACUGGANAGAUUUAAAAAUCAUAAAACAACUCAAUCAAAGUGUGUGCAGCUCGGUCCAACUGUUCUAGCAAUUACUUCCGUGUUCUGCUUAAUUUGCAGUUUUCAUAUGAUAUGCACGCAUCUCAUUUGCAGCAACUUAGAUCCAACCAGAAAUGCAAUUGUUCAUACGGCGCAGAUUCAAAUACAAAAUAAUUGAAACAGAUUCAACUACUGUAUUGCUUGGUACUGCACUUGAUGGGAUCAAACUACACUUGAGUUCAUUAGAUCGUUGCUCUUAUGAUGUACAACUAUUGAAUAACCACUCAAAUUAAACAGUUCAUUCCAGGCAUAGAUCUAACUUCAGAAUUUGACAAAUUUGAACCAAUUUAACAUGACUGACAUAACAUAAUCAGAUUUAAAAAUUAAAGACUCAAAGCAAGGAAGUGGACUGAUUAAAAUGAUGGAAAUAAAACAAUUAAAAGCUGGAAACAACAGAAACACAUACUAGAAUCUACGGAAGAUGAGUGAAUCAAUGGAACAGUGCACUAUAGAAGCAAAAACAUGAAGGAACUGUGUUGACAAAUUAGAAUGAAAGAAUAAAUUGACUUAGCUGGAGCGUGAUGCAGAACCUAGGCUCUGAAUACCACUUGAUAGAGUAGCUCCAGCCAUGGACGUGGUUUGAAUUGCAGCGGAAGAUGUUAACACUCGAAAAGAGGCAGCGGAGGAAUUUGCUUGGGGUUUGGCAGCCAUAUGUAGAGAUGAAGCAGUGGUUUAGAUGGUGGAUGAAGAGUUGUUUGGAGGAUGAGGUCUCUAGCUCAGACGGCCUUCACUGGAAGGAAGCUAGGUGGAGAGGGAAAGCUCAAUUUAGAAUGACUUUUGGACAGAGUUUUGGGCUGGAAAUGCUUCAGCAGAGCAAAACUCAUAUAUAUAAUCAAAAAGUGUUUACAUAAGCUGAUACAAGCAAAUUUAUAAUGAAAGACCCAAGCUAUGGAUGGUGCAGAUGGUUGUGGAAGAAGCUCAUAUCUCCACACGUGGCAGCGGUGAGGGAUGUGUGUUCUUCUUCUGGAAGAUGCAAGGCAAUGUGCGUGGGCAACCAACGUUCCAGCCAAAUCACGUACCAGAUGUGGUGAUGGUGUGAUACAUGUGUAUUCUUCUUGAGACAGCUCCAUGCUUGCUAUUCUCACCCCCCUUCCCUUUGUGUAAAUGACUUCUUUGUCCUUCUUCUUGGGUUGGAUAGUCCAUAGCCUUAUUGAACCCUACAAAACAACCAUAUAAAUAUUAAAAAGAAAUCAUUCUAAGACUUAGAAAAAGAAAAUCAAGAAAAAGUCUUUCUUCACUCCCU